rnacentral:rRNA from 1 species
CUAGUGUAGCGGUGAAAUGCGUAGAUAUUAGGAGGAACACCAGUGGCGAAGGCGGCUUGCUGGGCUUUUACUGACGCUGAGGCUCGAAAGCGUGGGGAGCAAACAGGAUUAGAUACCCUGGUAGUCCACGCCGUAAACGAUGAUUACUAGGUGUGGGGGGAUUGACCCCUUCCGUGCCGGAGUAAACACAAUAAGUAAUCCACCUGGGGAGUACGACCGCAAGGUUGAAACUCAAAGGAAUUGACGGGGGCCCGCACAAGCAGUGGAGUAUGUGGUUUAAUUCGACGCAACGCGAAGAACCUUACCAGGUCUUGACAUCAAGUGACCGCCUAAGAGAUUAGGCUUUCCCUUCGGGGACACAAAGACAGGUGGUGCAUGGUUGUCGUCAGCUCGUGUCGUGAGAUGUUGGGUUAAGUCCCGCAACGAGCGCAACCCUUAUCAUUAGUUGCUACGCAAGAGCACUCUAAUGAGACUGCCGUUGACAAAACGGAGGAAGGUGGGGAUGACGUCAAAUCAUCAUGCCCUUUAUGACCUGGGCUACACACGUACUACAAUGGCGUUUAACAAAGAGAAGCAAAGCCGCGAGGCAGAGCAAAUCUCCAAAAAACGUCUCAGUUCGGAUUGUAGGCUGCAACUCGCCUACAUGAAGUCGGAAUUGCUAGUAAUCGUAGGUCAGCAUACUACGGUGAAUACGUUCCCGGGCCUUGUACACACCGCCCGUCAAACCAUGAGAGUUGGCAACACCCGAAGUCGGUAGUCUAACCGCAAGGAGGACGCCGCCGAAGGUGGGGUUGAUGAUUAGGGUUAAGUCGUAACAAGGUAGCCGUAUCGGAAGGUGCGGCUG